rnacentral:rRNA from 1 species
UCAAUGGCCGAGAGGCUGAACCAGCCAAGUCGCGUGAAGGAAGAAGGAUCUAUGGUUUGUAAACUUCUUUUAUAGGGGAAUAAAGUGGAGGACGUGUCCUUUUUUGUAUGUACCCUAUGAAUAAGCAUCGGCUAACUCCGUGCCAGCAGCCGCGGUAAUACGGAGGAUGCGAGCGUUAUCCGGAUUUAUUGGGUUUAAAGGGUGCGUAGGUGGUGAUUUAAGUCAGCGGUGAAAGUUUGUGGCUCAACCAUAAAAUUGCCGUUGAAACUGGGUUACUUGAGUGUGUUUGAGGUAGGCGGAAUGCGUGGUGUAGCGGUGAAAUGCAUAGAUAUCACGCAGAACUCCGAUUGCGAAGGCAGCUUACUAAACCAUAACUGACACUGAAGCACGAAAGCGUGGGGAUCAAACAGGAUUAGAUACCCUGGUAGUCCACGCAGUAAACGAUGAUUACUAGGAGUUUGCGAUACAAUGUAAGCUCUACAGCGAAAGCGUUAAGUAAUCCACCUGGGGAGUACGCCGGCAACGGUGAAACUCAAAGGAAUUGACGGGGGCCCGCACAAGCGGAGGAACAUGUGGUUUAAUUCGAUGAUACGCGAGGAACCUUACCCGGGUUUGAACGUAGUCUGACCGGAGUGGAAACACUCCUUCUAGCAAUAGCAGAUUACGAGGUGCUGCAUGGUUGUCGUCAGCUCGUGCCGUGAGGUGUCGGCUUAAGUGCCAUAACGAGCGCAACCCUUAUCACUAGUUACUAACAGGUGAAGCUGAGGACUCUGGUGAGACUGCCAGCGUAAGCUGUGAGGAAGGUGGGGAUGACGUCAAAUCAGCACGGCCCUUACAUCCGGGGCGACACACGUGUUACAAUGGCAUGGACAAAGGGCAGCUACCUGGCGACAGGAUGCUAAUCUCCAAACCAUGUCUCAGUUCGGAUCGGAGUCUGCAACUCGACUCCGUGAAGCUGGAUUCGCUAGUAAUCGCGCAUCAGCCAUGGCGCGGUGAAUACGUUCCCGGGCCUUGUACACACCGCCCGUCAAGCCAUGGGAGCCGGGGGUACCUGAAGUCCGUAACCGCAAGGAUCGGCCUAGGGUAAAACUGGUGACUGGGGCUAAGUCGUAACAAGGUAGCCGUACCGGAAGGUGCGGCUG